UCAUUGACUAAGUUACAAAAUAAGGUCACAUUUCUUUUUCUAUUCCAACCAUAGUGGUUUUUGGCUCCCAAAUACCUACUAUAAAAGGAAAUCAAAACUUUCUGUAGGUUUUCUCAACCCAAAUAACUUGGGCCAUUCUUUGGACCAUUUGUGGUUUACAAAUUGGUCCUAGGGUUUAUCUGAUCCUUGUACCACUCUGUCCUCCAGCCCUGGAAUUCCGGAACUUUCAUGCCUCCUUAUUCCAUACUAGACCGUCCUUCUCCAAGCUUAGACUCUGUUCUCUCCCUGAUUGCCUUAAAGGCGUGGUCAAGACUAAGCUACUGGCCAAAGCUCCAGUGAAAAUUCAGUAUGUAUAGAACUCCGUGAUACGAAUAAGUGGCUCCUACAUUACUGCAGUCACUUCUACAGCUCACAGAUCCCAAAGCUAACGUCAGGGUCCCUGCUUGGCUCUCAGGUGAGCCCCGUGUAGUGAUGGGAUUGACGCACCCUGUUCUCUACUUUCCACUACCACUGAUGAGAAUCUCUACACCACUUCACCAGUAGACUUGCCUCCUGAUUCUCUGGCCCAGACAGUGUUCUUCCCCAAAAUUCAAGACCCACUUUUCUUCCCCAAGCAUGAUUGAGAGUAGAAAUAGCCAGGACCUUCAAGGGAAUCAUUCCCACCCACUCACAGGUUGAAAUUCAACCUCCAUGGCUUAGAGAGCGCAAUGGUCAUACUGAUAGAGCUCAUUCCCCAGAGUCUGAGUUGUUCAUUCUUAAUGAACUCUAUGGCAGACUCAAUCCUAGACAGUCCCACAGCCGCUGUCUUUUCUCAGCCCUUCAACCACCUGUUCUGCAGUGGGCAGCUCUAGGGAGCAUUGUGCGUGCUUCUCAGAGGCUCCCAGGGGUCCACCUGGGCCCUGUGGGUGUUCAUUGCCCAGCACGACAACCUAAGUAAUGCUCACUUAUACUGGCUUUUCACCCUUUCCCUCUUUCACUCCUAAUGCUCUUUUCUGCUCUUUCUGACAUGUAGUCCUUCACUCAACGCCUUCUCUACAGGCUCUGCUUUUCCAAGGAACCCAAAUUAAGUUGGUUGACUUGUUUUGAAGAAGGAAGGACACUGAGGCUGGCCUUGUGGCUCAGUGGGAUAAGCUGCCACGUGUGACAACAGCAUUGUAUAUGGAUGCUGGCUCACAUCCAGCUGUGCUGCUUUCUGACACAGCUCCCAACUAAUGGCCUGGGAAAAGCAGUGGAAGAUAGCCCAAGUGGUCGGGCUCCAGCCACCCAGGAGGGAGACGCAGGUGAAACUCCAAGCUCCUGGCUUCAGCCUGGCCCAACCCUGGCUAUUGUAGCCAUUUGGAGAGUGAACUGGCAAAUGGAAAAUCGAUUCCUCUCUCUCUCUCUCUUUCUGCCUCCUUCCCUCCAAUUCUUACUUUCAAAUAAAUAAACAAAUAUUAAAAAGAAAUUAAGGACAUAAAGAAAGGAAGUGGUGGCAUUGUGGCAUAGUGGGUUAAGCCACCACCUGUGACAACAGCAUCCCAAAUAAGCACCGGCUCGAGCCUGACCACUCUGCUUCUGAUCCAGCUCACUGCUAACGUGGCUGGGAAAUCAGUGAAAGAUGGGUCAAGUACUAGGGACCCUGCUACGCACAUGGGAGCCAUGGUUGGAGUUCCAGGCUCCUGGCUGAGGCCUGGCACAACCCUAGCCAUUGCUGCCAUUUGAGGAGUGAACCAGCAGAUGGAAGAUAUCUCUCUCUCCCUCUCUGUUUGUAACUCUGCCUUUCAAAUAAAAUAAAUACAUCUUAAAAAGGGUGGGGGUAGUGAUGAUUUUAGGAGGUGUAAUCAACAGGAAUGAGUGAGUGUUUAGAGUGGAAGGGGAAGCAGAUGUGGCGCCCCCAUUGUCCAGAUCAAUGUCGUAUCCAUCACCACCCUAUGGAACAGGCAGUACCUGAAUGCCUUCACUCAGCCUACCCAUACUCCUUAGCUCGACAGGUGGGCUCCAAGCAGAGUGCUAAAAAGCAGAGACCCAUUUCCCUUGCAGAUGCUGCUGGGGGUUCCCUACUCCCCAUCUUCCCCUUCCAAUCAUCUCAGGAGAGCACUCCAGGAAUCUCAGAACUCUGUAUUCAGCUCUCCCAUUGGCCUCUGGGAAGUUCCGGUGAUACCGAGGGAAGACAGAAGAGAAACAAAAAAAGCCUGGGAGCAGGGUAAGGAGGAAAGCAGGAGAGAAGAAAGCGAAAGAAAAGGGAAAGGAGUGGAGGAAAUCGGGAUGGCAGGAGGGAAGGGGAAAGGGGGGCUCGGGAGCUCUUUAGGUCCUGGGUCACUCCCAGUCCUUCCUCACCAGCCUCCUCUCCCAGGAAAAUGCACAACACUGCUCAUAGAUUUUCCUCCCGCUGGAGAUAGAAGAAGCUAGUCCAGCACUUCAUCAGAAACAAAGUCGGGGUGGGUGUUGUGGUACAGUGGGUUAAGCCACCACCUAGAAAGCCUGCAUCCCAUGUUGGAGUGCCUGGGAUUGUUUCUGCCUCUGCUUCUCAUUCAGAUUCCUGCUAAUACACCUGAGAGGCAGUAGAAGAUGGUCCAGGUACUUGGGUCCCUGCUACCACGUGGGAGACAGAGUUCCUGGUUCCUGCCUUUAGUCUAGCCCAGUCCUGGCUACUGUAAGCAUUUGGAGAGUGAACCAGCAAAUGGAUGAUUUAUUUCUUUGUCUCACCCUCUCUCUAUUACUGUUUCAAAAAAUAUUUUUAAAAGAGUCAGAGCCAAUAUGACUUGCUAAACUAGAACCUACAUUGACCUUGUGUUGAAGUGCGUAAAUAAUAAAUGAUAUAAUCAGAACUAGUACUACCGAGUGGGAAACAGAAAGCCAUUUAGAGGUAGUAUAGUGACCCUUGUUAAAUAAGUCACGAACAUGUCAAUUGUUCCUUAGCACAAUCAUGCUAAGGAAAGUCAAGGUCAUGCUAACAAGAUAAAACAUGCUUUCUUCAUAGGAGACUAAGCUGCAUGGACAUUAAAAAAAAAUCAAUGCUAGAUUUGAGGACAGGAACCAACACCAGCCUUGUGAAGUGGUGACCACCAAGCGAAGAGGAGACGCCAUUUGUAUUUCACAAAAGCUGGAGGCCCUCUAAUGUGUGAGACAAAAGUAGUGUCUGCGGGCACAGGCACUCCCACCUUCUGCACAGUAAAGGAAACAAUCAACAGAAUGGAGAGACAUCCAACAGAAAGGGAGAAAAUAUUUUCAGGCCACUCAUUUGACAGAGGAUUUAUAUCCGGAGUGCAACAGGAACUCAAGAACUCCACAAUAAAAAACAACAAAUCCAGUUAAGAAAUGGGGAAAAGACCUGAAGAGACAUUUUUCAAAAGAAGAAAUACUAAUGGCCAAUAAAUGUAUGAAAAGAACAGUAAUUUGGACUGUUUGAGUUCUGUAUGAAAAUGAGUUUCCUGUACAUACAUAUGCAAAUUUUAGAUGAAUUAGAGAAUGAUUAUUCAGAGUUCCUUUUUCUUUCUUUUUUCCUUUUUUUUUUUUUUUUUUGGUUUAUCAAAAAUAAAACAAAACAUGGAAUUCCCCUAGGCGUUGUCUGAAACACAGCUAAAAUAUCCCUAAAAAAUGUAUACUUUCAGGAUUGUGUUUUCUGAAGGUAUAAAAGCCAAAUAAAAGGCCACCGCCGCGGUUUCAUAAGCUAAUCCUCCGCCUUGCGGCGCCGGCACACCAGGUUCUAGUCCCGGUCAGGGCGCAGGAUUCUGUCCCGGUUGCCCCUCUUCCAGGCCAGCUUUCUGCUAUGGCCCAGGAGUGCAGUGGAGGAUGGCCCAAGUGCUUGGGCCCUGCACCCCAUGGGAGACCAGGAGAAGCACCUGGCUCCUGCCUUUGGAUCAGCGCCGUGCGCCGGCCGCGGCGGCCAUUGGAGGGUAAACCAACAGCAAAGGAAGACCUUUCUCUCUGUCUCUCU